UACGAAGGGGGCUAGCGUUGCUCGGAAUCACUGGGCGUAAAGCGCACGUAGGCGGACUCUUAAGUCGGUGGUGAAAUCCUGGAGCUCAACUCCAGAACUGCCUUCGAUACUGAGAGUCUCGAGUCCGGGAGAGGUGAGUGGAACUGCGAGUGUAGAGGUGAAAUUCGUAGAUAUUCGCAAGAACACCAGUGGCGAAGGCGGCUCACUGGCCCGGUACUGACGCUGAGGUGCGAGAGCGUGGGGAGCGAACCGG
rnacentral:rRNA from 1 species